CCGAAGACAGGGAGGAGGACGAGGCUGGCUAGGCAGGGAGGCCGAGGGUGAAGUGCAGUGGGAGGCGCAUCGGUUAGUGCAGAGGGAGGUCUAUGGUCAGCUCAUUGGAAUCUCACAGGCCACCACGGGGAGAGCAAUCACGCAGGCACAUCAACCUCCCCCACCAGGUAUGUUCAAUUGAACCUUCACUAUUAGUUGAGCUAACCGUCUCCAACAGCAACGUCCCAAUCACAAAUAAUUAUUUAGGUUUCUUACUGUGUGCGUGGAUGGGGCAUCGGAAGGAUAGAUGGCAGUACUCGUGUGGAUGCAACAACUGACUGUUAGUUUGUUCAUUCAGAGACUACCACGAACCAGUUUGAUUUGUGCUAUAAUGCUCUUGCAAAUAAUCAUAGAUGUUGGUGAAAACUGCAGAUGUUGUGGUGUUCAGGAAGGAGCGCAGAUACAGCAGCUGUCCAUCUGCAACCGCGGCCACGGGUGCCUAAUCUAACGCGACCUCCUGUUUUGACAUCGUCCUUGGUAGCUGCAAGCGUGGAAACAACCUUGGCAGUGCAGCGGCAGCCAUGAGGUUGUUCCUAGACCACUCCACCUUUGAACUGUACAAUCUGCUGUGCUUUCUAGCUAUUCUAUUUAUAUGUAGCCAUAGAUUGGUACAGUUAAUUCAUAAAUAUGAUUCAAUAGGAUUUGAUAUUUUUUUCAUGUCUCAAGUUUUUAGCUCUUCCCUCCUGGUGUGCAAAUUUUUUAGAGGAAUUUGGUGUGCCAAUUAUUUUCCUGCUUACUGUAGUUAUAGUUUUUCUCACUGUUAGAGCAGAGUAAAAUUCAAACUAUGAUAUUAGUGGUGGUUAGCUGAUAACUUGAUCAUAACAGGGGGCACACUAAUCUUCUUUCUUUUCUUCUCUAACAAAGUCUUAAUAUUAUAAGAAUGUUGUUCUCUUCUUUCAUAUUUGACAAAUAAAAUUUCCCCUAAUUUCAGUUUGGAUAAGCCAAGGUUGCUUUUGGAUCUUAGUAGAAGAUAGACGUUACGGAUUUAUAGACAAACAAUAGAUGUUGAUUUAGGGGUUCCGUCUGAUACUCAUGUCUUCUCUAUUUGGGAUACAAGUUCAAGUGAUCUUUUAGGCUACUAUUAAAGGGAAAUAUGUAUGCCGUUUCGUUCAUUUCAUCUCCACCUCCCCACCUUGCAUGUGUGUUCCCCUUCCCACCGGUUUUAUUGAUUUUUUAUAACAAUAUGCCUUAGGUUAUAAACCUACAAUAUAUUAACAUUCAGCAGAUACUCAUUUUUGUCUGUAGCUACACAAUCCAACUACUCAAAGGAACAUACAGUUCUAGAAGUGAGAACUGUUGAGCUAUUAUAGUGCAGCCUUGGGAUGAUAGAUGUUCAGGCCAGCUAUGCAGACCUUAAGGUAAAUGUUUUUCCAGCUAAUUAACAUGAAAUGUCUUGUAACUUGAACUAAUAAUGAACAACUGAGGAAUGCUUCCUGAAUGAAUCCAAAAUUGUUGGAAACACCACCGUCCAGUUGGAGAGGGAGCUAUCUGGAUCUCUAUCCAACCAGGACAUGUCUGCUUACAACUUUUUGUUGAAAAAGGUUGCGAAAAAAAAUCUAAAUCUGGAGGUAGGUGAUCCCAACUCACAACUAUGGAUAGCAAAAGGAAGAUGCAGUACUUGAUGUGAAAAUUUACAGGAAUAGAUAAUCUAACUUACAAUUAAUAAGCUUAUACUAUUAUUGUUGAUGCAAUACUAAUUUUACACGUUUUUUCAGUUGUAAAUACAAUAUGAAAUAAAAAGUUAUUCACAGGACCAUGGGUGUUUGUUAGUUUGUAUAAUCACACAAAUAAAAUAAGAGUUAAUUUGUCUAUGUAUGGUUUGUAUCCUGUUAUUUGCUACAAUAUUUAGCAAGUGUGCAAGCUAUUUAUGUGAGGUUAACUACGGACCUAUAAGCGAAGGAGUUUUUCUUCUCUACACAAGUAAGGUGUAAGCCAGCGAUCUUGGUUAUAUAGUUGACUUAAAUCCUGAAGGGACGAGCCUGCAUCUUUUCUUUCUGAUUUGAAAUGUAUUCAAAAUUCUUAUGCCCUGGUGUGCUCUAAUUCUUGGUAGUAUGUUCUCACAUGAACAGUCAUUUGAACAUUCAUCUAACUUUCUGCUUAAUAAAUUUGUAGCUGAGAUGAUGUAGCCGAAGGCACACUUCGGUAUUGUUUUAUUUCAGUCUUCCCUUAUCCUUUUUGUCUAAGAGAUAUUUCCCAGCAUGUCUGUCCAAACAUAUAUUACAGUUAUUACUAAGAAGGCUAUCCUCUUUUCUAUUUCAGCUCAAAGAUGGAUCGACCUGCGCAUUGUUGGGAUCUGUUUUAAUUGAAGUACUUCCUUCUACAGAAACAACUGGUACACAAGGAGCGUGUUUCCUUCUACAGAGGUAGCUGGUGCACAUGGAUGUAGUGAAACACGGUCAGAAACACUUGAGAUAUUAGCCGCAUAUAUUGAGAUAUUUCUCCUUUUAUUCUGGGUCCUGUAUCCUAAAAUAAGUAGCCAACUCAUUUAUACAUGGUGGUCAGGGCAAUGUGUAACGUCUACCUUUGGUAUUGUAUUAUUUUGUUCAAUGCAAUUCAUCAAAAUGACAAUGCAACAACAUAUGUAAAUGUUCUUUACUACCUUCUCAUUCUGCGCUGAGAUCAAUGAAAGUUGCAGGCAUCUAUAGCUUUGAAGCUAGCUCUUUGGGCGGCUUGAGAUAGGACAGCUACAUUGUUCUUUAAUUAUAGGUUCCAUCAAUGGUAAUGAUGGUUUCCCAACAAGAAUGCUAG
rnacentral:lncRNA from 1 species